UACAGAGGUCUCAAGCGUUGUUCGGAUUCAUUGGGCGUAAAGCGCGCGUAGGCGGUUUGGUAAGCCGGGUGUGAAACCCUCGAGCUCAACUCGGGGCGGCCACUCGGAACUGCCAUGACUUGAGUCUGGUAGGGGAACACGGAAUACCUGGUGUAGCGGUGAAAUGCUUAGAUAUCAGGUGGAACACCAGUGGCGAAGGCGGUGUUCUGGGCCAGUACUGACGCUGGACUGACGCGAAAGCGUGGGAGCGAAACAAG
rnacentral:rRNA from 1 species